AAGACUGGCGAUUGAUCCUAAAGCCUAUUUGACAGAUUGAUUGCAUCAUCACAAUCUUAAAGGUUCAAUAUACAGUCAGCCUCUCUCAUAAGAACAAAUCCCAAGAUCCAAGGCUUGCUUCAGAGUUAAUUAAGAGACCAUUCUGUGCCACAAAGAAAUUGUUCAGGAAGGGGACUGAGGUGGAUUUGCAUUUUGGGUACAGUUCAAAGAGAUUUUCAAAAUGGUACUGGAAGAUCAGAGGGAGGACAGCUGAAAAAAUUGAAAGUUACAGAAGAAAAAAGA